CACGUAGGGGGCAAGCGUUGUCCGGAUUCAUUGGGCGUAAAGAGCUCGUAGGCGGUUCGAUAAGUCGGGUGUGAAACCUCCAGGCUCAACCUGGAGACGCCACCCGAUACUGUCGUGACUAGAGUCCAGUAGGGGAGCGUGGAAUUCCUGGUGUAGCGGUGAAAUGCGUAGAUAUCAAGAGGAACACCUGAGGUGAAGACGGGUUGCUGGGCUGACACUGACGCUGAGGCGCGAAAGCCAGGGGAGCAAACGGG
rnacentral:rRNA from 1 species